GGAGCUCUCUAGCUUAGUGGUAGAGCAUCUGCUUUGCAUGCAGAAGGUCCCAGGUUCAAUCCCCAGCAUCUCCA